UGAUUUGAAAUUCCUCUAGAGAAAGAUUUCAGUGAGAGGAGAUUAGUCCUAUCAGAUAUUAAAGCACAGAGGUGAGCAGCAUAGAAUCUAGACUGCCUGCACUCAAGUCCUGGCUGGGGAAACUCUAGUGCAAUGGUUGUAUUACUCUGUGCCUCAACUUACUCAUCAGUAAAAUGAGAAUAAUAAUAGUACUCACCCUGGGGGUUGUCAUGACAAUUAAAUGUAAUUCAUUGAGAACAGAUCUUGGCACAGAAUAAGGACUAUGUGAGCACUAGCACUUGUAAUUAUUAAGCUGCAAUAAUUAAAAUGAUUCGAUGUUGUCAUAUUCAUAUACAGAUAAACCAAUGUAUUAAAAGAGAAAAGCCCAAAUAUAGGCAGGACAAAUAGGUCAAAAUAUAUUCAGGAAUUUAGUAAGUUAAAAACUGGCAUUUCUAAUCAAUGGGGAAAGAUGAGUAAUUCAAUACAUGGUGAGGGAACAAUUGAGCAGCCAUGUGAGAAAAUGUUAUCUCAUAAUUUGCACCAAAAUAAAUUCCAUGGAGAUCAAUCAAAGAGUUAAAUGGGGGGUGGAUGGCAUGGGGGGGAGGGGAAGAACCCUAGCAUCAGAAUAAAGCACGUGAGACUAUUUUACAACCAUGGAGUAGAGGUGAUCUCCCUAAAUAUAACAUAAAACCUAAGAGCCAUGAAUAAAAAUAUUGAUAAACUCAAAUAUAUACAAAUUGUUUUUAAUUCUGCAGAGGAAAAAUCACAGUGGUUGUCUCUAGAGUGAGGAUGAGGGUUGGAGAUGAAGAAAAACAUGACAUAGUCACUGAGGAUAUAGAAGACAGUAUUUAAGGAUUCAACUCAGAUGAGAAGCCAUAAACUCUGUAAAGGCAUCGCCUCAUGUUUUUCCUCAUGCAGGAUGAAGUGCAGGAUGACAGCAGCAUCCUCUAUGCCUCCUUCACCCUCUCCAGCUCCUCCCUGCACCCCUCCCAAGGAGAGCCCGCAGGAGACCUUGUACUCUAUCGGAAAGGCCCAGUGAGCAGGACUGAAUGGGGACUCCCUGAGACUAAGCUGCACAGAAGGUCACAGCUUCUAGUAAUAACCCUGGCCAGACACAGACAAAAGCCAGUGGGUGUGGAAGGCCACCAAGGACCAGAGAGAAACAGAGCCAUCUGCUUCCAUUCCCUCUUCAACUGCCCAGCCCUUGCCCACAAAAAUAAAAGUACUAGUAGAAUUUGCCUGAAGGCACCUAAGGAGAAACUGAUGGCAUCUUCUGUCUUUUCCUUCUCGCCAAAAAUGAGCUGUAAAAGUAGCUCACACCCAAGAUCCCUCCUCCAGGGCUGGUGUUCAGUGACUGCCUUCAGGCCAGGUGGGGGACACCAAACACUGGCAGCCAGCCCAGAGCCCAGACUCUGCCCCCUUAUCUAACCAUUCUACUUCUGCUACCAUAACAUGUACCGCGUUAAGUGCAUCACUCAUGUAAGCAUCACCAGCAACCUUAUACAGUCCUGGAUGCACUCACCGGAGGCGUGAAGAGAAGACCCAGAAUGGUUAGUGCUUUUCUCAAGGCCACACACCUAGUAAGUGGCUGAGCCAGGUCUGAACCCAGACCUGCCCUUCUCGACGGCCUCCUCCCAGGACUUGGGUCUCACUGCCUUCCCAGAUC
ensembl:lncRNA